rnacentral:rRNA from 1 species
GACGUAGGGGGCCAGCGUUGUUCGGAAUUACUGGGUGUAAAGGGUUCGUAGGCGGUGCGGCAAGUCGGGAGUGAAAUCUCUGGGCUUAACCCAGAGGCUGCUUCCGAAACUGCUGUGCUUGAAUGUGGGAGAGGCGCGUGGAAUUGCAGGUGUAGCGGUGAAAUGCGUAGAUAUCUGCAGGAACACCCGUGGCGAAAGCGGCGCGCUGGACCACUACUGACGCUGAGGAACGAAAGCUAGGGGAGCAAACAGG